rnacentral:rRNA from 2 species
ACGGGGUGCAGCAGGCGCGAAACCUUUGCAAUGUGCGCAAGCACGACAAGGUUAAUCCGAGUGUUUCCUGCUAAAGGAAUCUUUUGUUAGUCGUAAAACCACUGAUGAAUAAGGGGUGGGCAAGUUCUGGUGUCAGCCGCCGCGGUAAAACCAGCACCUCAAGUGGUCGGGAGGAUUAUUGGGCCUAAAGCAUCCGUAGCCGGCUCUGCAAGUUUUCGGUUAAAUCCAUUUGCUUAACAAAUGGGCUGCCGAAAAUACUACAUAGCUAGGGAGUGGGAGAGGUAGACGGUAUUCGGUAGGAAGGGGUAAAAUCCCUUGAUCUAUUGAGGAUCACCUAUGGCGAAGGCAGUCUACCAGAACACGUUCGACGGUGAGGGAUGAAAGCUGGGGGAGCAAACCGGAUUAGAUACCCGGGUAGUCCCAGCUGUAAACGAUGCAGACUCGGUGAUGCACUGGCUUGUGGCCAGUGCAGUGCCGCAGGGAAGCCGUUAAGUUUGCCGCCUGGGAAGUACGUACGCAAGUAUGAAACUUAAAGGAAUUGGCGGGGGAGCAC